rnacentral:rRNA from 1 species
GACGAACGCUGGCGGCGUGCCUAAUACAUGCAAGUCGAACGCAGUGGGGACGGUUGAGUAACACGUGGCUAACCUCCCAUCAGAGGGGAUAACACUUGGAAACAGGUGCUAAACUGCUACUGAUUGAUGGAGCCGCGGUGCAUUAGCUAGUUGGUGGGGUAACGGCCCACCAAGGCCACGAUGCAUAGCCGACCUGAGAGGGUGAUCGGCCACACUGGAACUGAGACACGGCCCAGACUCCUACGGGAGGCAGCAGUAGGGAAUCUUCGGCAAUGGACGAAAGUCUGACCGAGCCACGCCGCGUGAAUGAAGAAGGUUUUCGGAUCGUAAAACACUGUUGUUAGAGAAGCGGUAUCUAACCAGAAAGCAACGGCUAACUACGUGCCAGCAGCCGCGGUAAUAC